UACGAAGGGGACUAGCGUUGUUCGGAAUCACUGGGCGUAAAGCGCACGUAGGCGGAUUUGUAAGUCAGGGGUGAAAUCCCGGGGCUCAACCUCGGAACUGCCUUUGAUACUGCGAAUCUCGAGUCCGAUAGAGGUGGGUGGAAUUCCUAGUGUAGAGGUGAAAAUUCGUAGAUAUUAGGAAGAACACCAGUGGCGAAGGCGGCUCACUGGCCCGGUACUGACGCUGAGGCGCGAAAGCCAGGGGAA
rnacentral:rRNA from 1 species